rnacentral:rRNA from 1 species
AUUGAACGCUGGCGGCAUGCCUUACACAUGCAAGUCGAACGGUAACAGGUCUUCUGCUGCUGACGAGUGGCGAACGGGUGAGUAAUACAUCGGAACGUGCCCGAUCGUGGGUGGUAACGGAGCGAAAGCUUUGCUAAUACCGCAUACGAUCUACGGAUGAAAGCGGGGGACCGCAAGGGCUUUCGCGGACGGGGCGGCCGAUGGGAGAUUAGGGAGUUGGUGGGAUAAAAGCUUACCAAGCCGACGAUCUGUAUCUGGUGUGAGAGGGCGAGCAGGCACACUGGGAGUGAGACACGGCACUGACUCCUACGGGAGGCAGCAGUGCGGAAUUUUGGAAAAUGGGCGGAAGCCUGAUCCAGCCAUGCCGCGUGCAGGAUGAAGGCCUUCGGGUUGUAAAAUGCUUUUGUACGGAACGAAAAGACUCUUUCUAAUAAAGAGGGUCCAUGACGGUACCGAAAGAAUAAGCACCGGCUAACUACGUG